rnacentral:snoRNA from 1 species
ACUCUCCUGAUUCCUUCUCCCUCAAAGUUAAAUAGUGUUCUGAGUGGCUAAAAAAUGGGGAGGAAAAGUAAAACUAAAAUAGACUUGGAGUCUUUCGUGACAAACAAGUUCAUCUCAAACAUAA